rnacentral:rRNA from 1 species
UAGGGAAUCUUCCACAAUGGACGAAAGUCCGAUGGAGCAACGCCGCGUGAGUGAAGAAGGGUUUCGGCUCGUAAAACUCUGUUGUUAAAGAAGAACAUAUCUGAGAGUAACUGUUCAGGUAUUGACGGUAUUUAACCAGAAAGCCACGGCUAACUACGUGCCGG